CCUCGUAGCAGUGUUCUGGAAUCCUAUAUGUGGGACAAACACUCAGAACCAAGCAGCUGUGUUCUGGAAUCCUCUGUGAGGG
rnacentral:miRNA from 10 species